UGUGGAUUUUCCUGUUUCUCCUGGUUCUUUGGCUGGAUAGUGACACCUAAAACCACAGCAAAAGAUGGCAGAGCUUCCACCAGCCUAGGUUCCUGAAUGACUGCAUGGAGUGUGCCCCAGCCCCUGCUGACAGUUGGACUUUAUAUGCUGCAAUAUGCCACCCAGAUUUCUUCUUCAGGAAUGGAAGAUUUGUUCCCCCAGCUGCUAAAGUGCUGCAGGAAGACACUCCUCAGCUCUCAGUCCUCUUUGGGGAUUGCUGUGGCAAAAGAAAACUGGAGGUCCAAGAUGAUACCUCCUUCCAAGAGUAGCUCAUAUACAAUGAUUGAGAGGUGCCUGUUCUUGCUUCAGCUAGGGACAAUUUUGAAGGGCCAUCCCAGAUCCAGAGCUUGUCAUCAGGUUGAUUAAUUGAUUACAUUUCAACUUCUCCCUCUACCCAAUUCUGCUUUCGUUCCCUCCCUUCCACAAGUGCUGAUCCCAAGACCACUGCCUAAUAAAUGGCCUGCACACUAGUCUCCAUCUCUUCUUCAACUGUAUCUCCACCUCUUCUUCCUGAAGCAACAUGCUGUGACACAAACGUUAAUGUAUGUUCGUGUAUCUUAACCUUUGUUGCUCUAUAUUUCCCUUCUGCUCACCUCUAUUUUUCAAGUUUAUAGCAACAUUUUGUGAAAAUAAAUAAAUAUGAAAGUUUUACAAAGUAUCAUCAGAAUGUAUUUCUAUAUCAGCUUUAGCAAUAACAAAACAUGCUAGAAUUUCUUCCAAGAACAUAAAAUAGCUGAAAGUACCCUAGCCAUUGAAAAUAAAAGAUAUCAUCCUUGUUUAUCAAGAAAACUUAAAGGAAUACAAAUGAUGAAAAAAUAAAUAGACAUGUAAUCAGUUCCCAUUAGGUAGCAAGUUAAAUGCCAAACCAAAGCUUCCUCAUUAAAUCAGUUGUACAGUUGUGUUAUUUCCAAACUCCUACAACAUCACACAUGAGUAGAAGUCACUUAGAAACCUCUUUAAUUCCCUUAAUACUUGUUCAUUUAAUCCACUUGCCUAGACUGUUGUUUUCUUGUGAGCCUUUGAUGAGCUUUCAAACCUACAGGUUCCUAUGUUUGACAAGUGUUUCCUACAAC
rnacentral:lncRNA from 10 species